rnacentral:lncRNA from 1 species
UUAUUUUUCUCUAGUAAAUUUUAUACUGAGACUAUUAUACUAUUAGUUUUUUUAUAUAAAGAUAUGAAAAUAGUAAAAAACUUAUAUAUUUUUUUACCAACACAUUAGAAUACAUACACAUUUUAAGGUAAAGAUUGUAUGAAAUGUAAUCAAAACCCUAUGGGACUGACUUGAUAUCUAAAUGUUCCAAGGCUGAUCACUACUUUUUUGAUACAUAAAAUAGAGUGCAUUGAUAAUAACAUUCUAUACAUACUAUACAUGAACAUUUCCAGAAAUUUGUCGAUGUAAUAUAUGCUCAGAUAUUCAAGGCACAAAAUAAUGUUUCUCUUCAAUACAUAACUUUUGCAAGGUGCAAGAAUCUAAUAUCUGUUCCAAAAUGAUAAAUGUGUCAUUGUUAACCUUACCUUUAAACAUUGGAGUUAUCUUCCUUUGUCUAGAAUAGCUGUUAAAUCAACAACAACCAAUGCAAUAUUUAAAUUUACUUUCACUGAUAAAUUGAAGCAAUCUUUACCAUUCAGUACUUUCAAGCACUUUGAUUAAAAUAUAACAGUUAAGUUCAUUUACAUUUACCGGUAUAUACAUAUUUAGAUGCACCAUGUAACAGAAAGUGCAAUCAUCAUUUGGGAAAAAGGCAUUAUUCUUGCAGCGGCACUUUAUGGUCUAUGUCCUUGACCAUCUUUUAGCUGCACUUUUUAUACAACUACAAACUAUUUUGCAGUUGAAUAUUGGUUUCACGCCAUUAUCGUUGUUGUUAUUUGAAGACAUUUGGUUUUCACACAAUAGCCC